UACGGAGGGUGCAAGCGUUAUCCGGAAUGAUUGGGCGUAAAGGGUCCGCAGGUGGCCAUGUAAGUCUGCUGUCAAAGAAUGAGGCUUAACCUCAUCAAGGCAGUGGAAACUACAUAGCUAGAGUACGGUCGGGGUAGAAGGAAUUCCUGGUGUAGCGGUGAAAUGCGUAGAGAUCAGGAAGAACACCGGUGGCGAAAGCGGCUCUCUGGGACGGUACUGACGCUGAGACGCGAAAGCGUGGGGAGCGAACAGG
rnacentral:rRNA from 1 species